GCCGCUGAGACACAGCCACGCGCAUGGUGCACGUGCUGCAAUGCGCAGCUCGACUGCGCAGAAACGAGAGCGUAGACACACGAGUGCAGACACACAGGAAGUGGUCUCUCUUUCCACAAGAAGACGGCCGCGACUCAGCAGCUUAGGAGACGUUUGCCUCCUAUUUGGCAUUUUUUUUUAGAUCCAGUUGCUGCUCUUUGAUGCAUUUCCACAAAGACAAACUGCAUCUGCUCUGUUGUGUGGACCUGAAGCUCCAUCUGAUCUCAAAGUAGUGAACCUCUUGUUCACUGGAUUUAUGGUGGAGGCAAGAACAGAGACAUACUACAGACCUCAUGGCCUAAUCACUGGCAAACAGAAGGGUAACUGAAAAUAUGCAGUGUUGGACUGUAUGUCAGAUUGUAGGUCUGUUAAUUUUUUAAGCAAAAUUUCAUGUUUUGAUUACUAGGUGUAAAGUUACUUUUUUUUUCUUUCAAUAAAGGAUUUGUUUUUCUCA